GAUGAACGCUGGCGGCGUGCCUAAUACAUGCAAGUCGAGCGAAUGGAUUAAGAGCUUGCUCUUAUGAAGUUAGCGGCGGACGGGUGAGUAACACGUGGGUAACCUGCCCAUAAGACUGGGAUAACUCCGGGAAACCGGGGCUAAUACCGGAUAACAUUUUGAACCGCAUGGUUCGAAAUUGAAAGGCGGCUUCGGCUGUCACUUAUGGAUGGACCCGCGUCGCAUUAGCUAGUUGGUGAGGUAACGGCUCACCAAGGCAACGAUGCGUAGCCGACCUGACGGGGGGAUCGGCCAACCUGGGACUGAGACACGGCCCAGACUCCUACGGGAGGCAGCAGUAGGGAAUCUUCCGCAAUGGACGAAAGUCUGACGGAGCAACGCCGCGUGAGUGAUGAAGGCUUUCGGGUCUUAAAACUCUGUUGUUAGGGAAGAACAAGUGCUAGUUGAAUAAGCUGGCACCUUGACGGUACCUAACCAGAAAGCCACGGCUAACUACGUGCCAGCCGCCGCCGUAA
rnacentral:rRNA from 1 species